rnacentral:misc_RNA from 1 species
UCCGAGUUGACCCCGGCAGUCUCCUGCGAGUACCCGACAUUACUCGCUGGCAACUAGCGACAAGGGUUGCGCUCGUUAAGGGACUUAACCCGACACUUCACAGCACGAGCUGACGACAGCCAUGCAGCACUUGUGCUUGUUCCACCCUUGCGGGUGUGGCCCCUGUUUCCAGGGGUUAAUCCAAGCAUGUCAAGCCCAGGUAAGGUUCUUCGCGUUGCUUCGAAUUAAGCAACAUGCUCCACCGCUUGUGUGAGCCCCCGUCAAUUCCUUUGAGUUUUAGCCUUGCGACCGUACUCCCCAGGCGGCACACUUAUCAAUUUCUCUACGACCAAUACGACGUCAGAGCCGCAUCGGUCUAGUGUGCAUCGUUUAGGGCGUGGACUAC